rnacentral:rRNA from 1 species
GACAAACAGGUCGAGUUAAAACUGAAAUAGUAAAAAAGGAGGUUAAUGAGUUGAUUAUGAAAAAUAAUGCUUUUUAGGAAGGUAGAAUUUGGAUAAGAAGAGGUGAUCUGGUUUUUUCUUUUUUUGAUGCCUCGAAAUUUUAUUAUGAGACCGGGAUUAGAUACCCCGUUAUUUAAAAUGUAAACUUUAAUUGUGUGUGAUUUACUUGAGUACUACGAGAAGUCGAGAGAAUGAUCUAUAUGGUUCUUAAAACUCAAAAAACUUGGCGGUGCCUUAUAUCCUUCCAGGGGAACCUGUCCUGUAAUCGAUAGUCCACGAUUUAACUUUCUUCCUUUUGAAUUUAAAUAUCAGCUUGUAUACCGUCGUCGUCAGAUUACCUUUAAGAGUUAUGAAGUUGUCAGCAAGAAGUUGGAGGAGGAAAUUUAAGUUAUCAUAACUUAAAUUUGUUUUUAUGUUCUAGACGUCAGAUCAAGGUGCAGUUUAUAAGGGAGUAGAGAUGGGUUACAAUAAUAAAUUAUUAGAUGGAUUUUUUGUUGUAAUAGCAAAAUUGAAGGAGGACUUGGAAGUAAUUGGUUUAAAAAUAAGAGAGUUUAAAUGAAAAUAGGUUCUGAGGUGUGU